UCUGAGGAAGAAGGGGGCAAGGCAGAGGCUGUGAGGACCGCUUCUGUAGCAGGGUGUGCCCGGGUGCCCUGGCCAGAGCCCGGAUUUGCCUGCAGCACUGCUCCCCUCUCUGGGAGUCUGACAGUCUGAGGGAGGGUCUCUGCGAGGUAGGCAGCCCAAGGGGGUAAGGCCUAGUGCUGCCGCCUCCAGGCUGGGGGCCCCAGCGAGGCACGGAACCAACCCGGCCUUCCCACCUGUAAAGCGGGACUAUGGAAAGCGCCUCCCACAUGUGUUGCCCGAAGGAUUCCGUGAGAGGCUAGCUCUGUGCAGAGCCUGACGCACCGAGCGGUCCCCCACACGCCAGCUACUGUUAUUUUUAUCUCUGUCCCCCUGGAUGGGGGACUGUCCCAUUUCUGAGUCUUCCUUCGCGUUGUCCCCUCCUCCUGGAAUGACAUUUACCUACAUUUGUUUGUUUGAUUGAUUGUCCAUUCAUUCACUCCCUCAUAUAUACAUUCAGUAAACACUGGCACCUUCUCUAGUCCUGGAUGCUGGGGAGAAGUCAUGAACGAGACUCACUGUCUGCUCUGGGGAGCCUGUAGCUUUCUGGGGGGGGGAUCCCUGCUUUGCCUCUCAACCUCUCAUAAUCUAACCAAGCCCCCUGCCCCAUGCCACCUCCCCCAGGAAGCCCUUCUGGAUUGCUUCCCACAUCCUGUCUGUCUGCCUUUCUUAUUAGCCUCAUCUGGCAUCAGGAGGAAGUCACUCGGGCCACAGGCCCUUCCACCCAGGCCUAGAGGCUAAGGGCACUCCCUCUCCAUGGAGGCUGGAUGUGUGGAAACAGGACGCGUUUGGUGCACAGACAACGCGCAGGAAUGGGAAGGGGGAACGUGUACAGAUGCGGUCUGAGCAACAGGACACAGCCCACCCCCGCACAAACAAGAGCUGGUGGAGAAGAGAUGUUAGCCAGAUUCCGUGGGUCCUUCCUGCUGCAGAUUCUGAGCUGAGCUCUUGACCUGUAUUAAUUCACUCUUCACAGAGACCCUGGAAGAUGAUACCACUGAGGCCCUCGCUCCCGAUGGCGGAGCGAGAACUGCCUCUGAGCACACAGUCCGCCGGGAGACCCCUUGCGGGACCAGGGCUCUGGAAUCAGCGCCCACCACGGUCCUCCCUCCAGAUACGUAAGGCCAGAUGGGAAGGGGAUGAGCCGGGCAUACCCUUAUGGGUCAGUUCCCUGCACUGCUAGCCUGGCCUGCCCUGCCCCAGCCAGCACCAGGAAGUUUCCAUGCAGGUAGGUCAGCGACCAUCUGCUCACCUCUGGGAGGGCAUCAUCUAAAGAAAGUGAGGGAACUUCCCACCAACAAAGUGAUGAGAGCAGGGUCUGGUGCAUGGUUGUGCAUGUGUUGUUAGUCCAUGUGUUAGUGAUCCUUACUAUUUAACCAAUACUGAUGCCUAAGGGCCUGGGAGGACCUUGAACCCUUCAAGAUGAAGUCCCUAUUUUGAGAAGCUCAUGUCUAGAAUGGGAGACAGGUAGGGCAUUGGUGUGGUAGGAGCUACAACAGAAGUGGGGGCAGGCAGCGGGGCAGAAGUAGGGAAGAGAGGCUGGCUCUUUACUGUGGGGAGGGGGGCAUCAGAAAACCCUUCUGAGGAGAGGGGCUAGAGUCUUGAAGAAAAAGUGAGACAGUCAAAUGGGCGGGGGGUGGGGGAAGGUGGUCCAAAGUGAGAGAAGCCCAGGCAAAGUAUGGAGGUGAGAGAUGGGGUACUUUGAGGGGGCGCUGUGGUCCUUCUCUGUGAUGGAAGGUGAGAUCGGGUUGAGGAGCUGGUGCCAGGAGAGGCUGACGUUCCAACAGGGCUUGGAUAGCGGAGCAUUUUCGGUGCCGGGAAUAAAUACAGAACUGAAGUGAAUUGAAAUCUUUUGAAAAUGGGCACAAGGUUCUCCCCAGGUCCUGGACUGAGUGUUUGCAGUGAAGCUCAAAGGAAUAGACAGUAGAAUCUUUGGGUUCCCCACACAGGUCAUGACAUCAUCCCAUGUGGAGUUCGAAGCUGGGCAGGGGGAAAGGCACCCUCAACCCACAUUGAACCUCACUGUGGACCAAAGAGGCAGCUGGGGCAGGAGUCGCUGUCCCCACUGCAAAGAGGCAGAGCCCAGACCCCUGACUCAAGCUCAGCCAGGGCCACAGUCCACAGGAGGAAUGGAGCCUCAUCUGGAUGGAGGGAGCAUCUCGUGACAUCCCCACCCUUCAGAUGCUCUUUCCUCCCCGAAACUGCCAAAGGGCUGAGCAAUGACUUGGCACUGAGCAGGGCUUCCCGCCCCAAGGAGUGGUGGGAGGGGCCCCGUCCCCCAACGAUCAGCUGUCAGCUUUGUCAUCCUCUAUUCUCUCCACUGCUGCUGUCAUCAGGCCUUGUGUGACAGGCUAGGAGGCAGGUGGGGCCAGACUGGCGGUGGAGGGAGCUGAGAGUCAGGCAGAGGCGUUUGGCCUUGGUUGCUAUAGGGAUAAUCAUUAUAAUGACAUCCUUGACGUGUGUCAUGCCUUGCAGUUUCACUGAACAUUUCCGAGAAUAACAGCGCCCAUUAAUGGCUAGCUCACUGUGUGCCGGCUCUGUCCCCUAGCAGGUGGGAAUUGUUAGCCCCAUUUUACAGAUGAGGAACCCUGGGCGGGCGGGCAGAGAGGUUAAAUUCUUGCCUAAGACCCGCAGCUAGGAAGAGGCAGAACUUGAGUUUGAACCCAGGUCUGGCCACACGGCAGGGCUCUCUCAUCUAUACUUCCUUCGGCCGGGAGACUCCGUUGUGAGCCCAGCAAGUGAUCUGCUUCCUUCGUUCCACUGGGAGCUGAGGCUCAGGAUGAUAGGUCCGAUUGACCGCCUGGCUGGACAAAGAGGGCAAAAGAAGGGAAAUGGAGCAGGGACAAGAGGAAGGAAGGUUGGUUGACUCGAAAGAAUAAACAAACCGAAGAAACAAGAAAGGGAUAAGCGACCGCCCAGGUGAGAUUACAGUGCGUGACCCAGUGGCAGGGUCAGCAGGCAGGGGACCGCCCUCCUGCUUCCUUCCGCUCCAAGGACCCCUGGCCUUGGCCCCUUGGCCGCCUCUUAGACCCCCUGACCCCACCCUCCCCGAGCCCGGGAGUCCCCUGCUGCCCCAGCCGGGUCUCUGCUGCCGCCGUGUGGCUCCUCUUCUCCCUGCACCAUUCCCACGGCGGCUUGCCCGGUGGCUGGGAGCUCCUGGCUUGGGGUGUGGGGUGCUCACGAGUGGCUGGCAGAUGGGGGAAGUGGGUGCCGGGGGUGGAGUGGAACUUCAGAGGUCCAGUCAUGCCCCUUGGAGUGGCUUGGCAAGGUACACAGGCUCUUUGCUCCUCAUGCUUCCCUACGUGCCCUCCCCCUCCCUUUUAUCUCGAACCCAGGUCCCAGGAGGUCUGUCUUUGGCCAGAACCCUUCCACCCAAAGCCCGGACCUCUUGUUUACGGAGCAUCUCCUGAGUCCUGGACACGUGGCAUGUAUUGCUUUAUUCCCUCCUAUUACGUAUAAUUCUUAUCCUCCUUUGACAAGUAAUGAAACAGAGGCCCAGAGAGGACAGAUGAUUUGCCCAAGAUCCCACAGCUGGCAGGGAAACUGAAGCUCUCAAGAGGAAGGGACCUGUCGCACAGUGAGAAAGCUGCAGGCCCAGUCUGCGGCAGUGGGAGCCCGGAAGAGCCUCUUCUCCCAUUUCCGUCUGUCUGUCUGUCAGAUCCAUUCCACUCCAGCCGCCGUUUAACUGGACGGAGCUCAGGGCUGGGAGCGCGGGCCUCCGGUCCUCGGCUCCUCUCCCCGACCUGUCAUCAUGGAUCCUGGCAUAGUCGGCCCCGGGCAGGAGAGAGGAAGCCAAGGUCUGAGCGGAGGUGGGUUGUGGGCGGCGCAAGGACGCAGCCCCGCCCCCUGUAGACGUGGGCAGGUGGACAGGCCCCCUCAACCCGCGUUGAGCCUCACUGUGGACCAAAGAGGCAGCUGGGGCACCCCCAGCUGUCACUGUCCCCACUGCAAAGAGGCGGAGCCAGCGUGGUCAGGGCAUGGCUCCCAUCCUGUCCUCACAGCCCCCAGAGCUCUGCCACGGGGGCAUUCAGCACUGAGCAGAUCCCCAGGACUGGGGAG